CAAACAAAGCAUGUGCAAGGCUAUUGUUUUCCAUGUAUUCAUAUACCAACAAUAAUUGAUUCCCUUCAACACAACAUCCAAACAAUCUAACAAGAUUUGGGUGUUGUAAAGCAGAAAUCAUGCCUAUUUCAUUCAAAAAUUCUCGAUGUCCCUAUUUCCCUGCUUUGAUUUGGAAGAAAGUUGCUUAACAGCAAUUAUGGUACCAUCUGAUAGUGUUCCCU
rnacentral:misc_RNA from 1 species